rnacentral:rRNA from 1 species
GUGCCAGCCGCCGCGGUAAGACGUAGGGGGCGAGCGUUGUCCGGAAUUACUGGGCGUAAAGAGCACGUAGGCGGAUAUUUAAGUCAGAUGUGAAAGACCGCAGCUCAACUGCGGGGUUGCAUUUGAAACUGGGUAUCUUGAGGGCAGGAGAGGGCAGUGGAAUUCCUGGUGUAGCGGUGAAAUGCGUAGAAAUCAGGAGGAACACCAGUGGCGAAGGCGACUGUCUGGACUGACCCUGACGCUGAGGUGCGAAAGCGUGGGUAGCAAACAGGAUUAGAUACCCUGGUAGUCCACGCCGUAAACGAUGGAUACUAGGUGUAGGAGGUAUCGACCCCUUCUGUGCCGCAGCUAACGCAAUAAGUAUCCCGCCUGGGGAGUACGGUCGCAAGGCUGAAACUCAAAGAAAUUGACGG